CUCGGUCGACUCGCCUCUAGCCGCCGGAGUCCGAUCGACGAUCCGAACACACCAUCGGACUCACAACGACGCGCUGAUGACGAUCCCCGCUUCCGAUUUUCCGAUCUGACACCCGAUCAUCCGGAGAAAUUUGCGGACGAUCUCGACCGUCGAUUUGCAAACGAAGCCCGAUCGCCACGAAACCGGUGCCAUCGCGAAGCUUGAGAUGAGGAGAGUCGGGAUACGCCCUCCGAUCGUCCAUCCUCCGCCGGAUCUCGCCGGAAAAACCUAAAAACUCGGCUGCCUCCACUUCGCCGGAACUCUCUCCUCCGGCCACCAAAACCGACGCCGCUACCGCCAAAAGGAAGCUCUCUCCAAGGGGAGCCGAUCGCCACCAAGAUCGGCCG
rnacentral:lncRNA from 1 species